rnacentral:rRNA from 1 species
GAUGAACGCUGGCGGCAUGCCUAAUACAUGCAAGUCGAACGAAGUGGCCCAUAGAAGAAGAAAGUGCUUGCACCGGAUUUGGAAAUGGAAUUCCACUUAGUGGCGAACGGGUGAGUAACACGUAGGUAACCUACCCUUAAGCCUGGGAUAACUAUUGGAAACGAUAGCUAAUACCGGAUAGGUCAUUCAUCGGCAUCGAAGAAUGAUUAAAGGAGCGUAUGCUCCACUAAAGGAUGGACCUGCGGUGCAUUAGUUAGUUGGUGAGGUAGUGGCUCACCAAGACGACGAUGCAUAGCCGACCUGAGAGGGUGAUCGGCCACAUUGGGACUGAGACUCGGCCCAAACUCCUACGGGAGGCAGCAGUAGGGAAUUUUCGGCAAUGGGGGAAACCCUGACCGAGCAAUGCCGCGUGAGCGAAGAAGGAUUUCGGUCUGUAAAGCUCUGUUGUAAAGGAAGAAAGCUAAGUAGAGGAAAUGCUAUUUGGUUGACGGUACUUUACCAGAAAGCCACGGCUAACUACGUGCCAGCCGCCGCGGUAAUAC